rnacentral:rRNA from 1 species
GUGAUAGAGUAACUGUUAUCACCUUGACGGUAUCUAACCAGAAAGCCACGGCUAACUACGUGCCAGCAGCCGCGGUAAUACGUAGGUGGCAAGCGUUGUCCGGAUUUAUUGGGCGUAAAGCGAGCGCAGGCGGUCUUUUAAGUCUGAUGUGAAAGCCCUCGGCUCAACCGAGGAAGGUCAUUGGAAACUGGAGGACUUGAGUGCAGAAGAGGAGAGUGGAAUUCCAUGUGUAGCGGUGAAAUGCGUAGAUAUAUGGAGGAACACCAGUGGCGAAGGCGACUCUCUGGUCUGUAACUGACGCUGAGGCUC